rnacentral:rRNA from 1 species
UACAGAGGUCUCAAGCGUUGUUCGGAUUCAUUGGGCGUAAAGGGUGCGUAGGCGGCGCGGUAAGUCGGGUGUGAAAUCUCGGAGCUUAACUCCGAAACUGCAUUCGAUACUGGCGUGCUUGAGGACUGGAGAGGAGACUGGAAUUCAUGGUGUAGCAGUGGAAUGCGUAGAUAUCAGGAAGAACACCGGUGGCGAAGGCGGCUCGCUGGGCCAGUUCUGACACUCAUCCGCGAAAGCGUGGGGAGCAAACAGG